rnacentral:ncRNA from 1 species
UAUUCUAGCUAUUAUGUUAAUUUAUAAUCAACAAAUUAUAUGGGCUAUAAAUUUUUGAUACUUAUUUUCCAGUAAUUAAUUUUAUUUAUAAAUAAUUUGCUUAAUUUGAAUUAGUUAUUGAUUAGUAAUAGAUAAAAAUUUGUGCCAGCAUUCGCGGUUAAACAAUUUAUUAAAGUUAAUUAUAUAGAUUUUAUCAAUUUUUUAUUGUUAGAGAAUCAGUUUUUUUUUAUUUAGGUGGAAUUUAUAUAUUUUGUACAUUUCUUAUUUUUUUUUGUGAGAUUUAUGUAUUAAACUAGGAUUAGAUACCCUAUUAUAUUUAAAUGUAAAAAAUUUAAUCUGAAUAGUAUUAGUUUAUAAGGCCUUUAAAGCUCAAAGAAUUUGGCGGUAAAAUAUUUUUUUAGAGGAAUCUGUAAAAUAAUUGAUAAACCACGAUAUUCUUUACUUUAUUUUUUAUUUGUAUACCGCUAUAUCGACUAGAAAUGUUUUUUUAAAAUAUUUUUUUUUACUAUAUUGAUAUAUAUUAGGUCAAGGUGCAGUUUUAAUAAAGUUUUUAUGGAUUACUUUAAUUUUAAAUUAUUAGGACAUUCUUCUUAUUAGAAGAUUUUAAAUGAGGAUUUAACAGUAAAUUUUAACUAAUUAGUUAUUUUGAAUUUUACUUUAUUUUAUGCACAUAUCGCCCGUCACUCCUAAUUUUAAUUUAGGAUAAGUCGUAACAAAGUAAUUUCACCGGAAGGUGAAGUUAGAAGUACAUUUUAUA